AUUAUUAUUUAUUUCUUAAAACUUUAUGUCUGACCAAAUAACACACAUAAAAUAAGACGGAAGGGAGUACAAUUAUGUGCGUAAGUGAACGUCAGCAACACACUAGGCAAGAGUGAAGGAUUAGUGGAGUGGCAGCCACAUAAAGGCUUCAUGUGUCAAAUCUAGUGCUAUGGCACCUGGAAUAAAAAAUCUUUGCUACUAUUCUAAAUUGACGUCAUAUAUAUAGUAUUUUUUUUCAUUUUUAUAGUUCUAUUUCGAUGAGUUUUUUUAUUUUUUGGGAAACUUUUUUUAUUUUAUUGUAAAUACAAUUUGAAGUUGGUGUUUGAUAUGAUAAUUCCAAAUAGAAUUGGGUUUUUGCAGGUUGUAUUAUGUAGUUCAGAGAGAAGCAAAAGCUGCAAUGGGAGAAAGGUGAAGAUGAAGUCUUUCGUGACUGCGCGAAUCGUGAGCAUUCGGUACACAAGUCCAAGUCCUAUAGAUGAUUUUUAAUCUCAAGAAUUCCAAGUCCUCAGUCAAAACUUCAUAUUGUCAUACUGUGCUACUUUCUCAAGUUUCCUCUUCAACUGCAUUUCCUUGUUCGAAACAGGAGAAAUUCCAGCAUUGUCCAACUGCUCACAUAUCAUCUCUUCUUUGUUGGUCAUGUCAGUUUGAAAAUCUUGAUUAAUAGACAAGUUUUCAAGAUUUUUAUCGUCCACAACAAAGUAAUCGAUGGACUGAUCAUCAGGGUGGUUGUUGAUUGCUACUUGAAGAAGCUGAUUAUUAACAUCAUCAAUGUUGUUAGAAUGCUGCAGAUGCUCGUGGCUCGAGUUGUUAGUGAAAAACAUGCCAGGAUCACUUCCACAGCUGGUAAUGCUACUUUCUUGAGAAAAAUAUUGAAAGUUAUUGUUAGGAUCAUCAGAUAAUUGACAAAAUGCUUCAGUCCCAUAGCCCGAGCCAGCAUUAUCGCAACCAUUCAUCGACAACAAGCUGCCAUGAUCACCUUGCAAUUGAAGCAUGAAAUCUGCAGUUUCAUUACUAGAAAAUAAUUUGCUCAAUGACUCCCAUUCUUCAUCAAAAAAAGCUCCAACAUGUUCCAUUUCUUUCCUUUUUUGGUUAGUGUGUGUGUUUAUAUGUUUCUAAAUUAGAUGGCCUAAUAGGAGUUAGGCCAAAGAGAAAAUAUUGUUAAACUGAUAUACUGACAAAAUAAGCUUUUGAGGAUGAUCUCACACUUAUGGAAUGAGCUAAAAGUAGGGGACAUUUAUACGAGAAAAGAUUACAAAGGAAUUGAAAGAAUGUUUAGUAAAAGAUUAACUUGAUUUCUUUAU